GGCUGCGGGCCGGAUGCGGGGCGCAGUUGCGCUGCCGGUGGGGUGAGCGCGGAGCGGUGCGAAGUUGUGCGCGGUCGUGCCAGCAGACAUGCUGCGAGUGCGGUGCUUCCGCGGGGGAAGCCGCGGGGCCGAAGCGGCGCAUUACAUCGGCUCGCGGCUUGGAAGAGUCUUUACAGGAUGGGUGCAGCGAUCUUACCAGAGCACCCAGGCAGCUACCGCCUCCCAGAACACCUUUGCUGCUGAUGACAAGGCUACUAGCCCUGUGCCUAAGGACUGUCUUGUUUGCUCAUACAAUGAAUGGGACCCACUGGAAGAGGUCAUUGUGGGAAGAGCUGAAAAUGCUUGUGUCCCACCUUUUUCUGUGGAGGUUAAGGCCAACACAUACGAAAAGUAUUGGGGAUUUUAUCAGAAAUUUGGAGGCCAGAGCUUCCCCAAAGACCAUUUAAAAAAAGCAAUUGCUGAAAUUGAAGAGAUGUGCAAUAUUUUGAAAAGAGAAGGUGUUAUUGUCAAGAGGCCUGAUCCAAUUGACUGGUCUGUGAAGUAUAAAACGCCUGAUUUUGAGUCUACAGGUAUGUAUGCUGCCAUGCCAAGAGACAUCCUGUUGGUGGUGGGAAAUGAAAUCAUUGAAGCACCUAUGGCUUGGCGUGCUCGGUUCUUUGAGUAUAGAGCAUAUAGACGAAUAAUCAAAGAUUAUUUCAACCAGGGUGCCAAGUGGACAACUGCCCCCAAACCCACAAUGGCAGAUGAGCUCUAUGAUCAGGAUUAUCCAAUCCACUCUGUUGAAGACAGGCAUAAACUUGCUGCUCAGGGAAAGUUUGUAACUACUGAAUUUGAGCCAUGUUUUGAUGCUGCUGAUUUCAUUAGAGCUGGGAGAGAUAUCUUUGUACAAAGGAGCCAGGUUACAAAUUACAUGGGCAUUGAAUGGAUGAGGCGACAUCUUGCACCAGACUAUAGGGUGCAUGUAAUCUCCUUUAAGGAUCCUAACCCUAUGCACAUUGAUGCCACUUUUAAUAUCAUUGGACCUGGCCUUGUGCUUUCUAACCCAGACCGUCCCUGCCAUCAGAUUGAGCUCUUCAAGAAAGCAGGCUGGACUGUGAUUCAACCCCCAGUGCCACUCAUCCCAGAUGAUCACCCAUUGUGGAUGUCUUCUAAAUGGCUCUCCAUGAAUGUCCUAAUGCUGGAUGAGAAACGUGUGAUGGUGGAUGCCAAUGAGACAUCAAUUCAGAAGAUGUUUGAAAAUCUGGAGUAAAAGAUAAUACUCCCCAGUAGCAGAAGACUCCUUUAAAGGGACAAAAAUGAUGGGAAGGAGAGAAUGAUCCCAAGGUGGAAGAUAGCAGCUGUGAACCUAGAAGAAGGGUUGGUGCCAUGGAUGCGAGUGCGCUUACUGAAGCUUCGCUCAAAUCUGAGAUGAUGGCAGGCAUUUCUACAAUUAAAGUGAAUAUCCGCCAUGCCAAUUCCCUGGGAGGUGGUUUCCAUUGCUGGACGUGUGAUAUCCGCCGUCGUGGUACCCUGCAGUCUUAUUUUGACUAGUUAGGAGCCACAUUAGUAGCAAUGGUUCAGCUUCUAAAAUAAGCAUAGGAAAUGAGCAAGUUAAUUUCACUUUUGUUAAAACAACUGCAUGAGCUUUAGUGCUUGAUCCAGUGGUCUGGUAAAUGAUUUAUUCUUACAUACUCUUUACUUUCAGCAGUAUAACUGAAGCUACUUCCAUCAGUACAGGUUGUCUGGCUCCCUUUUUGAAAGACAUCCUUCAUCUUUUCACAUUGGCCUUGAAUGUAGAAACUCGACAAGAUAGCUAAAAGGUCUUGCUAGAAUAGCUUGGCCACUAAUUUUGGACAUCUACCUCUGUCUAGUUACUCUAUCAAAUAGGCAGCUUGAAAUGUUAAAACUUGAAUGAUCUUUUUUAUUUGUUUUAAUCAGUCGAAUAUAUUUGUGUGUAAUGAAGUUAAAAUAGAUGCAACUGUACAGAUCUCUUAUGGAACCAAGUAAUUUUACAAUGUUUUUCAUGUUAAGCCAUAUAGCUAUUUACAGAGAAUUUCCAGUAUGAAGUAACUUUUAAGAUCUGUUCACUUGCCAUGUCCUCCUACAUUUUCUUCUGAUGCAUGUCAUGCAUUGAAUAGUUUUUUAUAUUGCUUUUUGUAUUGGUGAAAUUGGUUUUUAUUUAACUUUUAGGUGUAGAAAUGACAGCUAAUAUUCUGCUUGUAUAGGUUUCACCCUGCAUUGUUUACAUAACUUAAAAAAGCACAAACUAAAAAAACCCACCAGCAACACCCCUGUAACCCUAAACCUCUGAGGACUUACAAUCCCUUCGUCCUUCAACUGUAGCAGAUACAGGAAGAUGUAUCAAACAUGCCAGAUGCUGGGAAGGAAUUUGAGUAUUGAUUACUGAAUAUGUACUUUUUAUGCUAAUAAAGGGUUUUUUUGCAUUCCCAA